GGCGAACGGGUGAGUAACGCGUAGGAAUCUACCUAGUAGAAGGGGAUAGCCCGAGGAAACUCGGAUUAAUACCGUAUACGUCCUUAGGGAGAAAGAGGGCUUAGCUUUGAUGCUCUCGCUAUUAGAUGAGCCUGCGUAAGAUUAGCUUGUUGGUGAGGUAAAGGCUCACCGAGGCGACGAUCUUUAGCUGGUCUGAGAGGACGAUCAGCCACAUUGGGACUGAGACACGGCCCAGACUCCUACGGGAGGCAGCAGUGGGGAAUAUUGGACAAUGGGCGCAAGCCUGAUCCAGCCAUACCGCGUGUGUGAAGAAGGCCUUCGGGUUGUAAAGCACUUUAAGUAAGGAAGAAAAGAGUAUUGUUAAUACCAUUACUCCGUGACAUUACUUACAGAAUAAGGACCGGCUAAUUCCGUGCCAGCAGCCGCGGUAAUACGGAAGGUCCAAGCGUUAAUCGGAAUUACUGGGCGUAAAGCGCGCGUAGGUGGUUUAUUAAGUUGGGUGUGAAAGCCCCGGGCUCAACCUGGGAACUGCAUCCAAAACUGAUUCACUAGAGUACGAAAGAGGAAAGUAGAAUUCACAGUGUAGCGGUGGAAUGCGUAGAUAUUGUGAAGAAUACCGAUGGCGAAGGCAGCUUUCUGGUUCUGUACUGACACUGAGGUGCGAAAGCGUGGGUAGCGAACAGGAUUAGAUACCCUGGUAGUCCACGCCGUAAACGAUGACAACUAGCUGUUGGGAAGCUAUGCUUUUCAGUGGCGCAGCUAACGUCUUAAGUUGUC
rnacentral:rRNA from 1 species